rnacentral:tRNA from 1 species
CCAUCGUAGAUCAAUUUUUUACUCACUGGACUCAUAAUUCAUUUGUCGGAGGUUCGAGUCCUCCCGGGCCA